rnacentral:rRNA from 1 species
UUGACCUCAAAUCAGGUAGGACUACCCGCUGAACUUAAGCAUAUCAAUAAGCGGAGGAAAAGAAACUAACAAGGAUUCCCCUAGUAACUGCGAGUGAAGCGGGAAAAGCUCAAAUUUGAAAUCUGGCAGUUCUUUUGACUGUCCGAGUUGUAAUCUAGAGAAGUGUUACCUGUGCUGGACCAUGUACAAGUCUUCUGGAAUGGGGCAUCAUAGAGGGUGAGAAUCCCGUCUUUGACAUGGACUACCAGUGCACUGUGGUGCRCUCUCAAAGAGUCGAGUUGUUUGGGAAUGCAGCUCAAAAUGGGUGGUAAAUGCCAUCUAAAGCUAAAUAUUGGCGAGAGACCGAUAGCGAACAAGUACCGUGAGGGAAAGAUGAAAAGAACUUUGGAAAGAGAGUUAAACAGUACGUGAAAUUGCUGAAAGGGAAACGCUUGAAGUCAGUCACGUUGGCUAGAAAUCAGCCUUGCUUUUGCUUGGUGUACUUUCUGGUUUGACGGGUCAGCAUCGAUUUCUUUGACCAUUGGAUAAAGUCUUUGGGAAUGUGGCAUCUUUGGAUGUGUUAUAGCCCAUUGUCGCAUAUGAUGGUUGGGAUCGAGGAACUCAGCACGCCGCAAGGCCGGGUUUAUACCACGUUCGUGCUUAGGAUGCUGGCAUAAUGGCUUUAAUCGACCCGUC